rnacentral:rRNA from 2 species
CCGCUUGCAGGGAAACAGAUGGACCCACGAAGUCCAGUUGAGUAUGAGAUUCAUAUUUUUGUACUUGGUUGUGUUGUUUGUUAUGUCUUCUACGAGGGCUAUGGCUUAUGACACUAAUCAGUAUAGAGAUGCAUUUCUCAUAUUCACGAUGGAGCUCUGACUUUUCGUUAUAACUUGAGUGUUUAUAGCAGUUCCUUCAUGUGGUGGAAUAUUAAUUUAUUCAACUCACUUGUUGGGAUGAACAACUCAAGUUUUAUAGAGGAGUUGAAUUACUUACAAUUGUAGGUCUUCAGGUUGUCGAUGGAGAUGGUGUAUAGUGCAUGAAUGUGGAUAAAACUUCGGUCCUUGUGAUUGAAACUUGUCCACACUUUAUGUACAUAUAUGCAUCAUUGAAAUCAAUGAUAAUCCAGAGUAAGUAGGUCGGUCAUCCAUCUGACCCGUCUUGAAACACGGACCAAGGAGCCCAACAACUGCGCGAGUCGCUCGGUCUUGUUUAGGCCAGAGAGGCGAAAUAAACAUAAUGGUAUGAUCCUUCAAAAUCUUUAGGGAUUAGGAGGCGCAAUACCAACCUGCUUUAAUUGCUUUUUUGCAAUGAAGCGGCGUUUGAGCGUAAUUGUUGGUACCCGAAAGAUGGUGAACUAUACUUGGGCAAGACGAAGCCAGAGGAAACUCUGGUGGAGGUCUGUAGCGGUUCUGACGUGCAAAUCGAUCGUCAGACCUGAGUAUAGGGGCGAAAGACUAAUCGAACCAUCUAGUAGCUGGUUCCCUCCGAAGUUUCCCUCAGGAUAGCUGGUACUAAUUACUCUGUAGCAUCCGGUAAAGCGAAUGAUUAGAGGUAUUGGGAUCGAAACGAUCUCAACCUAUUCUCAAACUUUAAAUGGGUGCGAAGCAUGACUUUUUUUGCUUAAAGUCUUGCUUUCGUAAGAGGAGUACCAAGUGGGCCAUUUUUGGUAAGCAGAACUGGCGCUGUGGGAUGAACCAAACGUGAAGUUAAGGAACCAAAUGCUGACGCUCAUGAGACCCCAUGAAAGGUGUUGGUUGCUAUAGACAGC